AAGCAUGUAGAGCCGCAGGCAGCGGACAAGCGGACGCGGGUUCAAUUCCCGCCGCCUCCACCA
rnacentral:tmRNA from 1 species